UGACCCGUGGAUCAGGUAGGAAUACCCGCUGAACUAA
rnacentral:rRNA from 1 species